AUGUCUUUUUCCGGCAUAAUACAAAAUGUACAUGAAAUACAGCAAAUUCCAAUAAUACAUUAUUUUGUUGCAGCUUACAAGCAAUUCUAUGGCCAGAUAUCACGAAGUUGGAAACAAAUUAUUGAAGAAUCUUGGAAUCUAAAAUCACAAUCAUGCACUGGGAAUACACAUGAGAAAACAUUGCAAUUCUCCAACUCAAGUGAAAUGAAAUUUGAUUUGUAUCUUUACGCCAAUAUUGAAGUUUAUACAGAAUAA